rnacentral:rRNA from 1 species
UCGUCACACUAUCAUUAACUGAAUCCAUAGGUUAAUGAGGCGAACCGGGGGAACUGAAACAUCUAAGUACCCCGAGGAAAAGAAAUCAACCGAGAUUCCCCCAGUAGCGGCGAGCGAACGGGGAGGAGCCCAGAGCCUGAAUCAGCAUGUGUGUUAGUGGAAGCGUCUGGAAAGGCGCGCGAUACAGGGUGACAGCCCCGUACACAAAAGCGCAUGUGCUGUGAGCUCGAUGAGUAGGGCGGGACACGUGGUAUCCUGUCUGAAUAUGGGGGGACCAUCCUCCAAGGCUAAAUACUCCUGACUGACCGAUAGUGAACCAGUACCGUGAGGGAAAGGCGAAAAGAACCCCGGCGAGGGGAGUGAAAAAGAACCUGAAACCGUGUACGUACAAGCAGUGGGAGCACAGGUUUACCUGUGUGACUGCGUACCUUUUGUAUAAUGGGUCAGCGACUUAUAUUCUGUAGCAAGGUUAACCGWAUAGGGGAGCCGKAGGGAAACCGAGUCUUAAYYGGGCGUUAAGUUGCAGGGUAUAGACCCGAAACCCGGUGAUCUAGCCAUGGGCAGGUUGAAGGUUGGGUAACACUAACUGGAGGACCGAACCGACUAAUGUUGAAAAAUUAGCGGAUGACCUGUGGCUGGGGGUGAAAGGCCAAUGUUGGGUAGGGGAGCGUUCUGUAAGCCUGUGAAGGUGGCCUGUGAGGGUUGCUGGAGGUAUCAGAAGUGCGAAUGCUGACAUAAGUAACGAUAAAGCGGGUGAAAAGCCCGCUCGCCGGAAGACCAAGGGUUCCUGUCCAACGUUAAUCGGGGCAGGGUGAGUCGACCCCUAAGGCGAGGCCGAAAGGCGUAGUCGAUGGGAAACGGGUUAAUAUUCCCGUACUUGGUGUUACUGCGAAGGGGGGACGGAGAAGGCUAUGUUGGCCGGGCGACGGUUGUCCCGGUUUAAGCGUGUAGGUGUGUGUUCCAGGUAAAUCCGGUUCACUUUAACACUGAGGCGUGAYGACGAGGCACUACGGUGCUGAAGCAACAAAUGCCCUGCUUCCAGGAAAAGCCUCUAAGCAUCAGGUAACAUCAAAUCGUACCCCAAACCGACACAGGUGGUCAGGUAGAGAAUACCAAGGCGCUUGAGAGAACUCGGGUGAAGGAACUAGGCAAAAUGGUGCCGUAACUUCGGGAGAAGGCACGCUGACAYGUAGGUGAAGUGAUUUACUCAYGGAGCUGAAGUCAGUCGAAGAUACCAGCUGGCUGCAACUGUUUAUUAAAAACACAGCACUGUGCAAACACGAAAGUGGACGUAUACGGUGUGACGCCUGCCCGGUGCCGGAAGGUUAAUUGAUGGGGUCAGCGCAAGCGAAGCUCCUGAUCGAAGCCCCGGUAAACGGCGGCCGUAACUAUAACGGUCCUAAGGUAGCGAAAUUCCUUGUCGGGUAAGUUCCGACCUGCACGAAUGGCGUAAUGAUGGCCAGGCUGUCUCCACCCGAGACUCAGUGAAAUUGAACUCGCUGUGAAGAUGCAGUGUACCCGCGGCAAGACGGAAAGACCCCGUGAACCUUUACUAUAGCUUGACACUGAACAUUGAGCCUUGAUGUGUAGGAUAGGUGGGAGGCUUUGAAGYGUGGACGCCAGUCUGCAUGGAGCCGACCUUGAAAUACCACCCUUUAAUGUUUGAUGUUCUAACGUGGACCCGUAAUCCGGGUUGCGGACAGUGUCUGGUGGGUAGUUUGACUGGGGCGGUCUCCUCCUAAAGAGUAACGGAGGAGCACGAAGGUUGGCUAAUCCUGGUCGGACAUCAGGAGGUUAGUGCAAUGGCAUAAGCCAGCUUGACUGCGAGCGUGACGGCGUGUUCGGGUUGUCAUGCCAAUGGCACUGCCCGGUAGCUAAAUGCGGAAGAGAUAAGUGCUGAAAGCAUCUAAGCACGAAACUUGCCCCGAGAUGAGUUCUCCCUGAGACUUAGAGUCUCCUGAAGGAACGUUGAAGACGACGACGUUGAUAGGCCGGGUGUGUAAGCGCAGCGAUGCGUUGAGCUAACCGGUACUAAUGAACCGUGAGGCUUAACCUU